rnacentral:rRNA from 1 species
GAGUUUGAUCUUGGCUCAGGACGAACGCUGGCGGCGUGCCUAACACAUGCAAGUCGAGCGGAGACAGUGAGUAGCUUGCUAUGAGCUGUUUUAGCGGCGGACGGGUGAGUAACGCGUGAGCAACCUUUCCCAGACAGGGGAAUAACACACCGAAAGGUGUACUAAUACCGCAUAAGACCACGGGAUCACAUGGUUCUGGGGUAAAAGAUUUAUCGGUUUGGGGUGGGCUCGCGUCCGAUUAGGUAGUUGGUGAGGUAACGGCCCACCAAGCCGACGAUCGGUAGCCGACCUGAGAGGGUGAUCGGCCACAUUGGGACUGAGACACGGCCCAAACUCCUACGGGAGGCAGCAGUGGGGAAUAUUGGGCAAUGGGGGAACCCUGACCCAGCAACGCCGCGUGGAGGAAGAAGGUUUCGGAUCGUAAACUCCUGUCCUUGGAGACGAGUAGAAGACGGUAUCCAAGGAGGAAGCCCGGCUAACUACGUGCCAGCAGCCGCCGCGGU